UACGUAGGGGGCAAGCGUUGUCCGGAUUUAUUGGGCGUAAAGAGCUCGUAGGUGGUUUGGUAAGUCGGAUGUGAAAUCUCCAGGCUCAACCUGGAGGGGUCAUUCGAUACUGCCAUGACUAGAAGUCGGUAGGGGAGUGUGGAAUUCCUGGUGAAGCGGUGAAAUGCGCAGAUAUCAGGAGGAACACCCGUAGCGAAGGCGGCACUCUGGGCCGAUUCUGACACUGAGGAGCGAAAGCGUGGGGAGCGAACAGG
rnacentral:rRNA from 1 species